rnacentral:lncRNA from 1 species
CAAGAAUUAAUUGUUUAAGAAUCAAGGAAGUACAAUAGAAUUUCAGGAUUCUGAUAUUUAUUUUGAGUUGUUCCUAUUUUUUUCCCCAAGAGGGACUAUUUGGAUUUAGAUUAAAUGUUGAAAUACAUGAACAUAUUAUAAGUUAUACUUACUGUUUUUAUCAUUGGCACUAAAAAAUAAUUUAAAACAGUGUCGAACCAACAAGAAAACCUUGGGAAAGAACAAAUACAAUGAAUGGCAGCAAGUCACCUGUUAUCUCCAGACCAAAAUCCACACCCUUAUCACAGCCCAGUGCCAAUGGAGUCCAGACGGAAGGACUUGACUAUGACAGGCUGAAGCAGGACAUUUUAGAUGAAAUGAGAAAAGAAUUAACAAAGCUAAAAGAAGAGCUCAUUGAUGCAAUCAGGCAGGAACUGAGCAAGUCAAAUACUGCAUAGAGGAACAGACUAAGGAGAGAUAGGACUUUAAUCUGGAGGAAAAAUAUCCUACAAACAACAACUGUUCACAACAGCAAACCCCUACAUUUAUGAGCUGUAAGAAGAAAAUGGAGACAAACAGAAGGAGGGAAAAACCAACCU